rnacentral:rRNA from 1 species
UACGGGGGGGGCAAGCGUUGUUCGGAAUUACUGGGCGUAAAGGGCUCGUAGGCGGCCAACUAAGUCAGACGUGAAAUCCCUCGGCUUAACCGGGGAACUGCGUCUGAUACUGGAUGGCUUGAGUUUGGGAGAGGGAUGCGGAAUUUCCGGUGUAGCGGUGAAAUGCGUAGAUAUCGGAAGGAACACCAGUGGCGAAAGCGACUUCCUGGUCCAAUACUGACGUUCAUGUGCGAAAGCGUGGGGAGCAAACAGG